rnacentral:rRNA from 1 species
GACGAACGCUGGCGGCGUGCUUAACACAUGCAAGUCGAACGGAAAGGCGCUGCGUUUGUGGGGUGCUCGAGUGGCGAACGGGUGAGUAACACGUGAGUAACCUGCCCUUGACUUUGGGAUAACUUCUGGAGAAUGGGGCGAAUACCGGAGAUGAGCUCCUGCUGCACGGUGGGGGUAGGUAAGUUUCGGCGGUUGGGGCUGGACUCGAGGCUUAUCAGCUUGUUGGUGAGGUAGUGGCUUACCACGGCUUUGACGGGUAGCCGGCCUGAGAGGGUGACCGGCCACAUUGGGACUGAGAUACGGCCCAGACUCCUACGGGAGGCAGCAGUGGGGAAUAUUGCACAAUGGCCGGAAGCCUGAUGCAGCAACGCCGCGUGCGGGAUGACGGCCUUCGGGUUGUAAACCGCUUUCGCCUGUGACGAAGCGUGAGUGACGGUAAUGGGUAAAGAAGCACCGGCUAACUACGUG